rnacentral:misc_RNA from 1 species
UUUUUUUUUUUUUUUUUCACUUAAUUUUCAUCGUUGUGGGAGUAUACUUAUGCUAGUCCUUGAUGCUACAUGUGACCAUAUUUUAUGGUAAUUCUUACAUGUGAUAUAUUGAAUGGAAAUUAGAAUUCCCCACCCUCCCUUUUUCUGGGGAAAAAAAGAAUUAAAAAAAGGCAGCCGUUAAAGGCAUUUCAUAUAAAAAUGAUAAAAGAUAGGAAUAUAUCAGAAUCACCCUUCUCUGAGCAUGUUUUGAUGGAAAUAACAGUGGGUAGUGCGCAAUCAUUUUUCGUCAGUGCAACCAUGAAAUCUUGAAGUCUUUCAUCCGGUGGUUUCUUGCUUACAAUUUGCAUCAUUUGUCAAUUCUUUUAUUUUUCUUAGCAUGUCUUCAUCUAUAUUUCAAAAAAGAGAUCAAUAUUUUCCUAUUGGAAAAAUUAUUAUUUAGUACUUGCAUUUUAACGAAACUAACCACUUGAUUUCUGUAUUUUAAAAAAUAUACUAUU